GUGCCAGCCGCCGCGGUAAUACGUAGGUGGCGAGCGUUAUCCGGAAUUACUGGGUGUAAAGGGUGUGUAGGCGGGGAUGCAAGUCAGAUGUGAAAUCCAUGGGCUCAACCUAUGGUGUGCAUUUGAAACUGCGUUUCUUGAGUGUGGGAGAGGUAAGCGGAAUUCCUAGUGUAGCGGUGAAAUGCGUAGAUAUUAGGAGGAACACCAGUGGCGAAGGCGGCUUACUGGACCACAACUGACGCUGAGACACGAAAGCGUGGGGAGCAAACAGGAUUAGAUACCCUGGUAGUCCACGCUGUAAACGAUGAAUGCUAGGUGUAGGGGGCUUGACCCUCUGUGCCGGAGUUAACACAAUAAGCAUUCCACCUGGGGAGUACGGCCGCAAGGUUGAAACUUAAAUGAAUUGACGG
rnacentral:rRNA from 1 species